rnacentral:rRNA from 1 species
AGAGUUUGAUCUGGCUCAGGAUGACGCUAGCGGCAGGCCUAAUACAUGCAAGUCGAACGGAGCAGCAAUGCUUAGUGGCGCACGGGUGCGUAACGCGUAUGCAACCUACCUAUCAGUGGGGAAUAGCCCGGGGAAACCCGGAUUAAUACCGCAUAAGAUCAAAGAGUGGCAUCACUUUUUGCUGAAACAUUUAUGGCUGACAGAUGGGCAUGCGUUAGAUUAGCUAGUUGGUAGUGUAAGGGACUACCAAGGCAAUGAUCUAUAGGGGUUCUGAGAGGAAGAUCCCCCACACUGGUACUGAGAUACGGACCAGACUCCUACGGGAGGCAGCAGUAGGGAAUAUUGGGCAAUGCCCGCAAGGGUGACCCAGCCAUGCCGCGUGCAGGAAGAAGGCCUUCUGGGUUGUAAACUGCUUUUGGAAGGGAACAAAACGGCUCUGCGGAGCAACUUGAGUGUACCUUCAGAAUAAGCACCGGCUAACUCCGUGCCAGCAGCCGCGGUAAUACGGAGGGUGCAAGCGUUGUCCGGAUUUAUUGGGUUUAAAGGGUGCGUAGGCGGCUUGUUAAGUCAGGGGUGAAAGACUGCAGCUCAACUGUAGCAGUGCCUUUGAUACUGAUGAGCUUGAGUAUAGAUGAGGCCGGCGGAAUUUAUGGUGUAGCGGUGAAAUGCAUAGAUACCAUAAAGAACACCGAUUGCGAAGGCAGCCGGCUAAACUACAACUGACGCUGAGGCACGAAAGCGUGGGGAUCGAACAGGAUUAGAUACCCUAGUAGUCC